rnacentral:lncRNA from 1 species
CCGCCAUGUCGCGCACCGCGGGCUGCUGGCAGGGCGGGGAGCGCACGGAGCUGCCUCUCUGGAACCGGACCGGGCCGGAGUUUAGGAGGAAGAAACUUCAUUAAGAUAAUCGGCUGCUGAAGUCUGAAGAAAUCAAUCAGUGCACACAUUUGUUUCACUUUUCAUCAGGUAGCUCUCAUUCAGCUAUGACAAGUCAUCACCUCAGUCACACAGAAUGCCACCAGGGUCCAAGAGACCUGAAUCACUUCGCUCCAGCAAAUAUUGGCUAUCAGCCACACUGGCUCCCAGUUGGUCUUGAGAAGACCUGGCCUCCAGAGCCAUUUCCUCCUUUGAAAGGAUGAAUGUGUUCCUACCUUGUGUGAGUCUUGAGUGGAACUGAUUACUUCUUUUUGUCUGAACUGG